rnacentral:rRNA from 1 species
GACGAACCGUGCGAACGUUGUUCGGAUUCACUGGGCUUAAAGGGCGCGUAGGCGGAUGGUCAAGUCGGGGGUGAAAUCUUUCAGCUUAACUGGAAAAGUGCCUCCGAUACUGAUCGUCUCGAGGGAGGUAGGGGCAUGUGGAACUUCCGGUGGAGCGGUGAAAUGCGUAGAUAUCGGAAGGAACGCCGGUGGCGAAAGCGGCUCACUGGACCAUAACUGACGCUGAUGCACGAAAGCUGGGGGAGCAAACAGG